GAGAUCAAAGAAGUUCGCGCGGGCGACAUCGCGGCUGCUAUCGGCCUGAAAGACGUGACUACCGGUGACACCCUGUGUGAUCCGGAAAACCCGAUCAUUCUGGAACGUAUGGAAUUCCCUGAGCCGGUAAUCUCCAUCGCGGUAGAACCGAAAACCAAAGCUGACCAGGAAAAAAUGGGUCUGGCUCUGGGCCGUCUGGCGAAAGAAGACCCGUCGUUCCGCGUAUGGACUGAUGAAGAAUCUAACCAGACCAUCAUCGCUGGUAUGGGUGAACUUCACCUAGAUAUCAUCGUUGACCGUAUGAAGCGUGAAUUCAACGUUGAAGCGAACGUGGGUAAACCUCAGGUUGCUUACCGCGAAGCGAUUCGCGCGAAAGUUACCGACAUCGAAGGUAAACACGCGAAACAGUCUGGUGGUCGCGGUCAGUAUGGUCAUGUUGUUAUCGACAUGUACCCGCUGGAGCCGGGCUCUAACCCGAAAGGUUACGAGUUCAUCAACGACAUCAAAGGUGGUGUAAUUCCUGGCGAGUACAUCCCGGCCGUUGAUAAAGGCAUCCAGGAGCAGCUGAAAUCUGGCCCGCUGGCGGGUUAUCCGGUAGUUGAUCUCGGUGUGCGUCUGCACUUCGGUUCUUACCAUGACGUUGACUCCUCUGAGCUGGCGUUUAAACUGGCUGCGUCUAUCGCCUUUAAAGAAGGCUUUAAGAAAGCAAAACCAGUUCUGCUUGAGCCGAUCAUGAAGGUUGAAGUAGAAACACCUGAAGAGAAUACCGGUGACGUUAUCGGCGACCUUAGCCGCCGUCGUGGUAUGCUCAAAGGUCAGGAAUCUGAAGUUACAGGCGUUAAGAUCCACGCUGAAGUACCGCUGUCUGAAAUGUUCGGAUAUGCAACUCAGCUGCGUUCUCUGACCAAAGGUCGCGCAUCGUACACUAUGGAAUUCCUGAAGUAUGAUGAUGCGCCGAACAACGUUGCUCAGGCCGUAAUCGAAGCCCGUGGUAAAUAAGCCGCAGGGUUAAAAACCAAAAUCCCGUGCUCUCUCCUGAAGGGGAGAGCGCUAUAGUAAGGAAUAUAGCCGUGUCUAAAGAAAAAUUUGAACGUACAAAACCGCACGUUAACGUCGGCACCAUCGGCCACGUUGACCACGGUAAAACUACCCUGACCGCUGCAAUCACCACCGUACUGGCUAAAACCUACGGCGGUGCUGCUCGUGCAUUCGACCAGAUCGAUAACGCUCCGGAAGAAAAAGCGCGUGGUAUCACCAUCAACACUUCUCACGUUGAAUACGAUACCCCGACCNAAACCGACACAGGUGGUCAGGUAGAGAAUACCAAGGCGCUUGAGAGAACUCGGGUGAAGGAACUAGGCAAAAUGGUGCCGUAACUUCGGGAGAAGGCACGCUGACACGUAGGUGAAGUGAUUUACUCACGGAGCUGAAGUCAGCCGAAGAUACCAGCUGGCUGCAACUGUUUAUUAAAAACACAGCACUGUGCAAACACGAAAGUGGACGUAUACGGUGUGACGCCUGCCCGGUGCCGGAAGGUUAAUUGAUGGGGUCAGCGCAAGCGAAGCUCCUGAUCGAAGCCCCGGUAAACGGCGGCCGUAACUAUAACGGUCCUAAGGUAGCGAAAUUCCUUGUCGGGUAAGUUCCGACCUGCACGAAUGGCGUAAUGAUGGCCAGGCUGUCUCCACCCGAGACUCAGUGAAAUUGAACUCGCUGUGAAGAUGCAGUGUACCCGCGGCAAGACGGAAAGACCCCGUGAACCUUUACUAUAGCUUGACACUGAACAUUGAGCCUUGAUGUGUAGGAUAGGUGGGAGGCUUUGAAGUGUGGACGCCAGUCUGCAUGGAGCCGACCUUGAAAUACCACCCUUUAAUGUUUGAUGUUCUAACGUGGACCCGUGAUCCGGGUUGCGGACAGUGUCUGGUGGGUAGUUUGACUGGGGCGGUCUCCUCCUAAAGAGUAACGGAGGAGCACGAAGGUUGGCUAAUCCUGGUCGGACAUCAGGAGGUUAGUGCAAUGGCAUAAGCCAGCUUGACUGCGAGCGUGACGGCGCGAGCAGGUGCGAAAGCAGGUCAUAGUGAUCCGGUGGUUCUGAAUGGAAGGGCCAUCGCUCAACGGAUAAAAGGUACUCCGGGGAUAACAGGCUGAUACCGCCCAAGAGUUCAUAUCGACGGCGGUGUUUGGCACCUCGAUGUCGGCUCAUCACAUCCUGGGGCUGAAGUAGGUCCCAAGGGUAUGGCUGUUCGCCAUUUAAAGUGGUACGCGAGCUGGGUUUAGAACGUCGUGAGACAGUUCGGUCCCUAUCUGCCGUGGGCGCUGGAGAACUGAGGGGGGCUGCUCCUAGUACGAGAGGACCGGAGUGGACGCAUCACUGGUGUUCGGGUUGUCAUGCCAAUGGCACUGCCCGGUAGCUAAAUGCGGAAGAGAUAAGUGCUGAAAGCAUCUAAGCACGAAACUUGCCCCGAGAUGAGUUCUCCCUGAGACUUUAGGUCUCCUGAAGGAACGUUGAAGACGACGACGUUGAUAGGCCGGGUGUGUAAGCGCAGCGAUGCGUUGAGCUAACCGGUACUAAUGAACCGUGAGGCUUAACCUU
rnacentral:rRNA from 1 species